rnacentral:rRNA from 1 species
CUUUUAUUGAGAGUUUGAUCCUGGCUCAGGACGAACGCUGGCGGCGUGCCUAAUACAUGCAAGUCGAGCGGACUGGAGGGAGCUUGCUCCCA